rnacentral:tRNA from 1 species
GGGCCGUUAGCUCAACGGGUUAGAGCUCCGGACUUUUAAUCCGGCGGAGCGGGUUCGAGUCCUGCACGGCCUA